rnacentral:rRNA from 1 species
GAUGAACGCUGGCGGCGUGCCUAAUACAUGCAAGUCGAGCGAACGGACGAGAAGCUUGCUUCUCUGAUGUUAGCGGCGGACGGGUGAGUAACACGUGGAUAACCGACCUAUAAGACUGGGAUAACUUCGGGAAACCGAAGCUAAUACCGGAUAAUAUUUUGAACCGCAUGGUUCAAAAGUGAACGACGGUCUUGCUGACACUAAUAGAUGGAACCGCGCUGCAUUAGCUAGUUGGUAAGGUAACGGCUUACCAAGGCAACGAUGCAUAGCCGACCUGAGAGGGUGAUCAGCCACACUGGAACUGAGACACGGUCCAGACUCCUACGGGAGGCAGCAGUAGGGAAUCUUCCGCAAUGGGCGAAAGCCUGACGGAGCAACGCCGCGUGAGUGAUGAAGGUCUUCGGAUCGUAAAACUCUGUUAUUAGGGAAGAACAUAUGUGUAAGUAACUGUGCACAUCUUGACGUUACCUAAUCAGAAAGCCACGGCUAACUACGUG